rnacentral:tRNA from 1 species
GUUAUUUUGGCAGAAUAGUGCAAUGGAUUUAGAAUCUUUAUAUGUAAUGUUAAUUACAAAUAACA